rnacentral:rRNA from 1 species
UAGUGGCGACGGGUGAGUAACACGUGAGUAACCUGCCCUUGACUCUGGGAUAAGCACUGGAAACGGUGUCUAAUACCGGAUAUUUCAGCUGGCCGCAUGGUCUGGUUGUGGAAAGAAUUUUGGUCAAGGAUGGACUCGCGGCCUAUCAGGUAGUUGGUGAGGUAAUGGCUCACCAAGCCUACGACGGGUAGCCGGCCUGAGAGGGUGACCGGCCACACUGGGACUGAGACACGGCCCAGACUCCUACGGGAGGCAGCAGUGGGGAAUAUUGCACAAUGGGCGAAAGCCUGAUGCAGCAACGCCGCGUGAGGGACGACGGCCUUCGGGUUGUAAACCUCUUUUAGUAGGGAAGAAGCGAAAGUGACGGUACCUGCAGAAAAAGCACCGGCUAACUACGUGCCAGCAGCCGCGGUAAUACGUAGGGUGCAAGCGUUGUCCGGAAUUAUUGGGCGUAAAGAGCUCGUAGGCGGUUUGUCGCGUCUGCUGUGAAAACUGGAGGCUCAACCUCCAGCCUGCAGUGGGUACGGGCAGACUAGAGUGCGGUAGGGGAGAUUGGAAUUCCUGGUGUAGCGGUGGAAUGCGCAGAUAUCAGGAGGAACACCGAUGGCGAAGGCAGAUCUCUGGGCCGUAACUGACGCUGAGGAGCGAAAGCAUGGGGAGCGAACAGGAUUAGAUACCCUGGUAGUCCAUGCCGUAAACGUUGGGAACUAGAUGUGGGGGCCAUUCCACGGUCUCCGUGUCGCAGCUAACGCAUUAAGUUCCCCGCCUGGGGAGUACGGCCGCAAGGCUAAAACUCAAAGGAAUUGACGGGGGCCCGCACAAGCGGCGGAGCAUGCGGAUUAAUUCGAUGCAACGCGAAGAACCUUACCAAGGCUUGACAUAUACGAGAACGGGCCAGAAAUGGUCAACUCUUUGGACACUCGUAAACAGGUGGUGCAUGGUUGUCGUCAGCUCGUGUCGUGAGAUGUUGGGUUAAGUCCCGCAACGAGCGCAACCCUCGUUCUAUGUUGCCAGCACGUUAUGGUGGGAACUCAUAGGAGACUGCCGGGGUCAACUCGGAGGAAGGUGGGGAUGACGUCAAAUCAUCAUGCCCCUUAUGUCUUGGGCUUCACGCAUGCUACAAUGGCCGGUACAAAGGGCUGCAAUACCGUAAGGUGGAGCGAAUCCCAAAAAGCCGGUCUCAGUUCGGAUUGAGGUCUGCAACUCGACCUCAUGAAGUCGGAGUCGCUAGUAAUCGCAGAUCAG